UCACAAUGAUAAUUGUAUUGUUUUGAUAAUUUGUAGGUCGUACACAGGGAUAUAAUUUAUUAUAUGCAUGGUAUUAACAAUCUCCAUCUGUAAAAAUGACAAAGUAAAACGCAAUUAUGUCACGUGACCACUCGUGGAAUGUUUUUUUUUUUUUCGUUCGUUUAUUUAUGCCUUAUAACUAAUAACGAUUCGUGUUGGCUACUUUAAAACAAGAUUUCGUCGUAACGUUCAUAUGUUCAUAACAACGGUUUCUCGGGGAUUUUUGAAGCCAUGAUUUAGUAAUUUGCUACCGAAGUGUUAAUCUGUUGCAGAAGACUUUGGACUGUCAAACGCAGCAGCACCUGAAGGAAAAACAAGUUUGUGAUGGAACAACAUGCAAAGAUGGGCGGAUGCGCGGAGCCCGGUGGUGUGCACGCGUCGGAGAGUGGGGCGCUCGACGCCUUCUGCCCCGCCUGGACUCUUGGCUGCAACUCAUCAACUGCCGAGUCUCCUACAGUACUGGAACAGCAGGUGGAGCGAACAUCAGGAACUCUGUAGCUUCCAGCAUCGUUGCCAUCGGGAUCUACAUUACCGUCAUUGUCACUGCCAUCAGGAUUCCCAACAAUGUUAGACCUUCCGAGAUAUCUGCAGCUGUUGGCUCUGCUGUCAUUGAGUCUCAUAUCACUCACACAUUCGACAAAAAGGACACACAUUCAAAGAAGAGUACACACAUUGGACACACUAUCAACAAAAAGGAUGCACAUUUGGACACACAUUCAGUUAAAAGGACACUCAUUAGAAUACACAUUUGUCUUCAUGAUAAGCAUUGUGUUUCAGUAGGUCACGAAAAAAACUAACAAUGAUUUCUUAUUUUUUAUUCACUUUAUAUAUAUUUAAAAAAAACUUAUAAAAAUUAUUCAACUAACACAUCAAUAUUUUUAUUCUAUGAAUCCUUUUCUCAGGACUAAAGUAUGGAUGAUAUCUCACCUGUGCGAGAAUAGUUUCCUACAGUCUACUACACAUACAGAUGCAUACCACGAUAUGCAAUCUGUCUUUUCUGCUGCUUCCAUCUUCUUUACAAUUUUACUGUCAAUAUUCUGGAAACCUCUAUAGUAUUCUGUUUUACCACCAGCCUGAAAGUCACUAUCAUCAUUGUAGCUAUCAGCCUCUUCAUCACUAUUAAUGUAAAUAUUCAAAAUCACUGACGUCUACAAGCAUCCUUCCUAAAUGUCCAUUAUUUUUCCCCGAGUUCAGAGGAUGUAUAUCGGCUUGAAUGUAUUCUCACUGUCCAUGGUAAUGAUACGUCCAUUGUUUUCAGUCUUCCUUAAACCUUCAAUAUCCUUCAAUUCAAGUGUUUUAUCAAAAUCAAUACAUGCAGCACACUCUUCUUUAGCAUAGUAGCUCCAUUGUUGACCUUAAUCUUGUAAGUGUGCAUGACUUUACAAGUGUUGCCGUGUCUUUUUAAGCUAUCACUUUGCGUAAAUAACCUACCACACCGAUCUCAGUUUGGUAGUGGACUUUUGACACAGUCGUUCUUCUCAUGCCUUCUAGCAUUCUUUCUCAGGACAAAUUCCUUACUGCAGAAACUACACCUGUGUCCUUUAGAUAACACUGCAGACAUUGAUCCGGACUCCACAUUAGCUUCUUUGACUGCGGUCACAUGCAUAAUGAAAUAUCACACUGAAGUCAAAUACUUAAAAAGAAAUCAAAAUCCAUCAGCGAAAGUUAAUUUUUCAGUUUGAAAAAAAAUUCAUACUGUAAGUAGUUCUGCUUUUUUACCAACAGAUAUCGCUUCAUGUCAGUGAGAGUUAAUUUAUCUCAUGCAAGAAACAUGUUGCAACAACAUGGUUCAGAUUCUCACCGACAGAUUUCACCCCACACUGUGUUGAAGUAAAUAAUUAUAUUUUUAUUUUUAUGUGGGAUACAAGAUGCUUUCUCAAGGCUGCAAGAAAAGGACGGCUAUGCUAGACCUCUAGGGAAAGACCCAAAAUUUUCAUGAUCAACUUUAAACUGUUGUGAAUUACCCCAAGAUUUGAUGUAUUUAUUGUGUUUACCAUUUGAGAUAAUGAAGUUCAAGUCAAUAUAUAAAAACCUAAGUAUCUAUGAAAUAUAAUUUGCUGUGGUUUAUUUUUGCUUAUUUUAAACUAUACAAUGAAACGACUAUGAUAAAAGACAAAAAUAACAUUGAAAAAAUCUAAACCCAGGCUUUGCACCUAAUUUUUGACAAGAAAUUUUAUAAAAGCUGCCCAUUUUGUUAAAGUUCAUUAAACAGUUAAUACUAUAAAGUUUAAAUUUGUCUUCAUGAACUUAGGUUCUUGCCAUCAGCCACAGAUGGCAGCACCGUCACUGAUACACAUUUCCGUUUCUCGAAUUCCAUUGCAUUCACGAAAAAACUCCCAUAUACCAUAUACCGAGAGCUAAGACGUCACACAUAAAAAAUUUUUUUAACAGAUUAUGGGUACUAAUAAUCAUGUAAAUAAUAGUCAAGUUAUGUUCAAUCAGUAUUUUACAUUAAUCAUCAGUUAAGAUUAAUCACAGCUGCUCGUGGUACACCAAUAAUUUUUACAAAGAAUAGCACAACAAAAUUUGUUAAAAUAAAAAUUAAGUGAAAUUCAAGGUUUUAUGACAGAAACAAUAUAGGUGUUCACACCAGUGAAGGAUUAGUACACCAUCACAGUGCUUUAAUGUUUUGGCAUAAUUUUUGCAGAUUUGAGAAUAUCUGGGAAUAUAUUUCCCACCCAUACAUUUAUGGUAUAAACUUGUUUAGCUCCAAAAUUUUACCCUGGUAAAAAAACCUAGGUUCAGUAUAAAAAUAUACUUUUCUCAUCAUGGAAAUAGAAAGAAAAAAUAUGAUCAACCAAAUGAUACAGGAAAGAUAAUAUGGUGAGUAGCGAUAAAACUGAAAUAAAGCGAAAUUAAGUAAGUACACCGCCAAAACCGAAAUGCAAGUAAAUAACACUACGUGACACUGAAAUGCAGCGUAAUUCAUCUUAACUGCCUCAUUAUAGCUAUUAAAAUAUAUAAUUAAUAUCAUUAAUCUUAUAACUAACAUGUUAUGUACGAAGUAAAAAAAAUUAGUUUCUAUCUAUGAUUUUUUUUUAAAUAAAAAAGGUAAAUUUAAGCAAUCUAUAGAUGAUACCAUACAGUCAUAGGUAAAGACCUUAAAGACCUAUAGAGAAACAUCACAAAAAAAUGUAAAUGUAUAAUGAUUUUAGGCUUUUAACAUUGCAUAUUUUUUUAUAAUGGAAUGUUUUAGUAAGACUUUUGUUUAACUUACCGUCAUAAACAUAUGUAGUUGUAUUAAUUAAUCUACACAUUUGAAGUGUCUUACCACAAAUUGUCGAAGCAGUUGAUCAAUGUAAUUGUGCUUGACAUGUAUUAUUUAUGUGUGUUUUAAUUUUUAAUGACAAAAUUUGAAUUUUGUAACUCCGUAUAAUCUUGGCUCUACUAAUUGAGGAUCUUUAAUUUGGUCAUGCCACAUUUACAAUAAAAAAAAUUUCAUGGUGAGAAAGUAUGUAUAUUUAUUUGCACGAUUCAUUCACCCAUCUUGAAAGAUGUUCAUCCCGUGAAAACCAGUUGCCUACCCUACCAACCUAUAUGAACACUAAUUUCCACGCAGGUACAUUAUUACAUGGUACGUUUACUCAGGAACAAGCCAAGCUCGGGAGCUACAUUAGCUGCACAACUCUAGCAAACGACGCGGGUCCACACACCCCGGGGCUAGCCGCUCAGGGCGGACGACAGUUCCCCGCUCUCCGCCAGCUGCUUCACGAUGUCCACACCACCAAUCAGCUCCCCCUUCACGUACACCUGCGGGUAGGUCGGCCAGUCGGAGAGCUCCUUCAGUCCCUGCCGCACCUCGUCGUCCGAGAGCACGUCGAACGUGCCGAACUCCACCCUGGAACACCGUGCGAGGUUCCCACACUUAUCUCCUCUCUACUAGUGAUAUCGGCCCUGGAUUUCCCAUGUACAGUGUAUAUUAACCCCGUUUCAUGUAUUUGUUUUGUCUAUGUAUUUUUUUUAUGUUUAUCGUGCCUACCACCGAUGGCCUUUUGCCGUCGGUAGGCAUGUAACAAAUUGAUAAAAUAAAAAAUAAAAAUAAAUAAAAAAAA